rnacentral:lncRNA from 1 species
UUCUAAAAAAUUAUUCAAUUUAUUAAAGAAAAUCUUAAUGCAAUUAUAAAUCAAAUUCAAAGCAAUAACAAUUAAGAUGAUCACAAUAUAAAAAGAUAAGGGAAGAGGGAUUCAAACACUGAGAUUUUUACGUGGUUCAGCCAACCUCGCCUACGUCCACGCCUCCAAGCUUUCCGGGCUUGAGGAUUCCACUAAGCAAGCCUCCAAGGCUUCAAAUGCUUACACUUGACUUUCAAGGUGUCAAUGGACCUUUACAACAAGAGAUUAUCCCCAAUCUCUUAACCCAAGUGUAUCCCAACACUUACAAUCACUCAAAGUAAAAGAUUACAAACUGUUUUGCCUCUCACAAUAUAUAAGAUUACACAAUGAUGCUUAAUAUGUGAAUAGAUGAAGCAAGAAUGUGUUCUAAGCUCUAUGAAGAUUGUAUUCUCGGAUAUUAGCUCAAAUGGUUGUGUUGUGAUCAAUCUUCUUUGAAUUUAAAUGAGCUUAUUUAUAUCUGGAGCUGAAAAUCUAGCCGUUACAAAAUGUCGAACAAAAAACGGUUCGCCGUUAACUAUAAACGGUUAACCGUUUCAGUUGGUCAAAGUUACCGUUGGGCCAGAUUUCAAAUAAACGGUUAGCCGUUUAGGAUUGCCCUUUCGCCGUUAACUUCCAGAGUCCUGCAAGAUGAGCAUUUGUUAUCCGUUUACGCUAAACGGUUAAGGACUUGCAUGAAGUAACGUUUCUGGAUAUUAUCGGUUAACCGUUUGCAAUAAACAGUUAGCCGUUUGUCUCCAGUAACCUGCAAAAUGAACAUCAGUUAAUCCGUUUUCAUUUAGCGGUUAAGGGAUUGCAUAAAGUGGCUUCUCUAGGUAUUAUCGGUUGACCGUUUAAAAUAAACGGUUUUCCGUUUGGCUCUAGUAACCUGCACAACAAUUUAGUCUUAUCAGUUUUCGUUAAUCAAUGCUAGAGGAGGACAACCUUCAAUUCUGGACGUUAUCGGUUAACCGUUUAAAAUAAACGGUUCACCGUUAGGUUCCAGUAGCCUUCCCAUCUUUGGUGUUUUCCGUUAAACAUAAACGGCUAGAGCUUAGGUAAUAUGUUGCUCUCUGGUGCUAAUCGGUUAACCAUUUAAAAGAAAACGGUUUACCGUUAAUUUCCAGUAACUUCCCCAUCUUUUGUGUUUUCCGUUUUUCAUAAACGGUUAGAGGUUUAGGAAAUGUGUUGCUCUCUGCCUUUAAUCGGUUAACCGUUUUAAAUAAACGGUUCACCGUUUAUAACCAGAAUUGCAAUUUUAAAUGAGUUUUUGCAGAGAAUCUCUUUUUAAUUUGAAAAUCCAUCUUUUAUGAAGAAAUAAGGCAACGAUUAAAAGGGCUUUCGUUUAUUAAGAAAUAGCUCCAAUAUUUUUGUCAAAAUACAUUUAAAAUUUGUUAUCAUCAAAAUCAAUAUUAUUAACAUAUUUAUGUUAACACAAUAUUAGUCAUGUAUUGAUUAAAUGUAUCCAUUUACCUUUUUUUUUAUAACCAAAUUACCAAUCAAUAAAUCCAAAAAGCCAAAUCUAAAGGUAAAAAGAGUCAGCUACUCAGCUAUAAGGACAGGAAAUAACAACUAUAAAUCUAUAACGCUAAUAAAAAAACCCAUGUAGCUAAGGAAAAUUGUUACUCUCUUGAAAUAAGAAAAACUAAGUAUAAUAUUAGUUAAUGUAGAAGGUAGACUAACUUUUGGAUUUUGCCUACUGAUUUGUCAAUUGGAGUAGGUUAGGAUCACUGUCUUAUUCUUCAAUUCCAACUCUAUAUAUUUGAUAUUAUAAUUCUCUUUUGUCAAAACCACUUUAACAACGUAUUUAAUUUCAACAAUUUGACACAAAUAUUCAAUCUAGAAACUAUUGGCUUUGAGUUUCAAGCUUAUAAUAAAUAUUCACGAAAAAGCCACCCAUACUCUAAAGGUUUAUUUAAUUGAUUACAUAAACACCUUUAAUCUUAG